CGCCACUAUAUAUGAUGAUAUGGAUGUGAAUCAAAGUUGAUCUUUCUUUUGCAUUGGAGAGUGAACAUUGGAGCAGUGAAGCAUUGGUGCAGAUAGAUCUUGACAGGGCUUAUGCACAGAUUAGUCUUGAUGAAAUGUUGCUGUUGCGGGAGUGUUGCUACUGUUGUUGGAGUGUUGCUACUACUCUUAGAGUGUUGCUACUGUUGUUGGACUUCAUUUUUUUUAAUUUUUUUUUUAUUUCUUUUGCUUUCAGUUGAAUUAAUGUGUUGUAAAUAUAGAUGUCAAUGAAAUUCGAUUGAAAAAUUUAUAAGAAUUUUGGGUCUUAUUACAUUUGAGUUAUUAAUUUCAUUUAAUAUUAAAUAUCAUUUUUACA